AAUUUUGGACAAUGGGGGAGACCCUGAUCCAGCCAUCCCGCGUGUAUGAUGAAGGCCUUCGGGUUGUAAAGUACUUUUGGCAGAGAAGAAAAGGUAUCUCCUAAUACGAGAUACUGCUGACGGUAUCUGCAGAAUAAGCACCGGCUAACUACGUGCCAGCAGCCGCGGUAAUACGAAGGGGGCUAGCGUUGUUCGGAUUUACGGGGCGUAAAGCGAACGUAGGCGGUUCGGAAAGAAAGAUGUGAAAUCCCAGGGCUCAACCUCGGAACUGCAUUUUUAACUGCCGAGCUAGAGUAUGUCAGAGGGGGGUAGAAUUCCACGUGUAGCAGUGAAAUGCGUAGAUAUGUGGAGGAAUACCGAUGGCGAAGGCAGCCCCCUGGGAUAAUACUGACGCUCAGACACGAAAGCGUGGGGAGCAAACAGG
rnacentral:rRNA from 1 species